UACGUAGGGCGCAAGCGUUGUCCGGAAUUAUUGGGCGUAAAGAGCUCGUAGGCGGUCUGUCGCGUCUGCCGUGAAAACCCGAGGCUUAACCUCGGGCUGGCGGUGGAUACGGGCAGACUAGAGGUAGGUAGGGGAGAAUGGAAUUCCCGGUGUAGCGGUGAAAUGCGCAGAUAUCGGGAGGAACACCGGUGGCGAAGGCGGUUCUCUGGGCCUUACAUGACGCUGAGGAGCGAAAGCAUGGGGAGCGAACAGG
rnacentral:rRNA from 1 species